AGAGUUUGAUCAUGGCUCAGAUUGAACGCUGGCGGCAGGCCUAACUCAUGCAAGUCGAGCGGUAGAGAGGUGCUUGCAUCUCUUGAGAGCGGCGGACGGGUGAGUAAUGCCUAGGAAUCUGCCUAGUGGUGGGGGAUAACGUUCGGAAACGGACGCUAAUACCGCAUACGUCCUACGGGAGAAAGCGGGGGAUCUUCGGACCUCGCGCCAUUAGAUGAGCCUAGGUCGGAUUAGCUAGUUGGUGAGGUAAUGGCUCACCAAGGCGACGAUCCGUAACUGGUCUGAGAGGAUGAUCAGUCACACUGGAACUGAGACACGGUCCAGACUCCUACGGGAGGCAGCAGUGGGGAAUAUUGGACAAUGGGCGAAAGCCUGAUCCAGCCAUGCCGCGUGUGUGAAGAAGGUCUUCGGAUUGUAAAGCACUUUAAGUUGGGAGGAAGGGUAGUAACCUAAUACGUUGCUGCUUUGACGUUACCGACAGAAUAAGCACCGGCUAACUUCGUGCCAGCAGCCGCGGUAAUACGAAGGGUGCAAGCGUUAAUCGGAAUUACUGGGCGUAAAGCGCGCGUAGGUGGUUCAGCAAGUUGGAUGUGAAAGCCCUGGGCUCAACCUGGGAACUGCAUCCAAAACUACUGAGCUAGAGUACGGUAGAGGGUAGUGGAAUUUCCUGUGUAGCGGUGAAAUGCGUAGAUAUAGGAAGGAACACCAGUGGCGAAGGCGACUACCUGGACUGAUACUGACACUGAGGUGCGAAAGCGUGGGGAGCAAACAGGAUUAGAUACCCUGGUAGUCCACGCCGUAAACGAUGUCGACUAGCCGUUGGGAUCCUUGAGAUCUUAGUGGCGCAGCUAACGCAUUAAGUCGACCGCCUGGGGAGUACGGCCGCAAGGUUAAAACUCAAAUGAAUUGACGG
rnacentral:rRNA from 1 species